CUCACUUACUGCCUUUGAAUUACAUGAGUUGUUUCAAUGCCCUAUAACUCCUUCAUCUAAACUUAGAAUUUAUCAAAUAGUACAAAUAAAGUGUAGUUAAAAAAGUGUCCUCUCCAAUUCUAGUCACUGAUCUUUCAUUGCUCUUUGUACGCAUAUGUUAUGUUUCAAAAAGUGAUAAUAGGUACAAAUUUGACACCUUAACUUUGAAUACCUAUUUCUCCUUCAAAAAAACUCGAAAUCAUAUAAACUCUUCAUCCAAAUUAUACCCAAAAUCUUGAACUUACUGAUCCUAGCCUCCAAAGCUCAAAUGCCUUCGAAAGAGAAACCCUAAUCCCUAAUAAGGCCUCAGGCAGCCUCCUUGAAGCCCAUUGGCAUGGCCUUCAAUCAAUGGGAAUGAAGUUUUCCAUUCCUUGCCUUCAUCCAACCAUGCCUUACUUUCAUCCC
rnacentral:lncRNA from 1 species